rnacentral:rRNA from 1 species
UACGUAGGGGGCUAGCGUUGUCCGGAAUCAUUGGGCGUAAAGCGCGCGUAGGCGGCCCGGUAAGUCCGCUGUGAAAGUCGGGGGCUCAACCCUCGAAUGCCGGUGGAUACUGUCGGGCUAGAGUGCGGAAGAGGCGAGUGGAAUUCCUGGUGUAGCGGUGAAAUGCGCAGAUAUCAGGAGGAACACCAAUUGCGAAGGCAGCUCGCUGGGACGUUACUGACGCUGGAGACGCGAAAGCGUGGGGAGCAAACAGG